rnacentral:rRNA from 1 species
GACGAACGCUGGCGGCGUGCUUAACACAUGCAAGUCGAACGGAAAGGCCCUGCUUUUGUGGGGUGCUCGAGUGGCGAACAGGUGAGUAACACGUGAGUAACCUGCCCUUGACUUUGGGAUAACUUCAGGAAACUGGGGCUAAUACCGGAUAGGAGCUCCUGCUGCAUGGUGGGGGUUGGAAAGUUUCGGCGGUUGGGGAUGGACUCGCGGCUUAUCAGCUUGUUGGUGGGGUAGUGGCUUACCAAGGCUUUGACGGGUAGCCGGCCUGAGAGGGUGACCGGCCACAUUGGGACUGAGAUACGGCCCAGACUCCUACGGGAGGCAGCAGUGGGGAAUAUUGCACAAUGGGCGGAAGCCUGAUGCAGCAACGCCGCGUGCGGGAUGAAGGCCUUCGGGUUGUAAACCGCUUUCGCCUGUGACGAAGCGUGAGUGACGGUAAUGGGUAAAGAAGCACCGGCUAACUACGUG